rnacentral:rRNA from 1 species
CCUAGGAAUCUGCCUAGUAGUGGGGGAUAACGUCCGGAAACGGGCGCUAAUACCGCAUACGUCCUACGGGAGAAAGUGGGGGAUCUUCGGACCUCACGCUAUUAGAUGAGCCUAGGUCGGAUUAGCUAGUUGGUGAGGUAAUGGCUCACCAAGGCGACGAUCCGUAACUGGUCUGAGAGGAUGAUCAGUCACACUGGAACUGAGACACGGUCCAGACUCCUACGGGAGGCAGCAGUGGGGAAUAUUGGACAAUGGGCGAAAGCCUGAU